UUCAUAGUAUGAUGCCGUAUUUCUCAGAGAAUACAGGUAGUUUUAAUAAAAAUUUUGCACUUAAAGACUUCCAACAAUCUAAUGUAGCCAACGAAUUUGUUGGCUGUAAAAUGAUGAUUGGUUUGAAUCUGUUCAAACUAAUUUAUUCAGUCCAUUGUAUUUGAGCUUGGCAAUGAAAAGAAAUUUUCACGAAGAAUGGAAAACGUUACAGAGAGAAUGGGAGAAAUAUGUGCAUGCAGAGAUUCAACAAUAGAAGGAAAAUUCUUACCCUUGUUAGAUUUUCAGCAUACUAUACUAUUUGUCAGAAUACAAAGCAUGAAGAAGUUCUAGUAUUUUCUACAAACAAUUACGACUUUUCAAAUAUUGAUGAAUUUGACUUUUAUAUUCAUUUUCAUGUUCUUGUCACUUUCAAAUUCGUUUCUACGUCUUAAAGUUGACAACCAAUAAGUUUCUUCUGAUCGUGACAACAAAAAAGAGAAAUGAGAUGUUUGUAUAAAGAUCUGAGGAAUUUUUAAAACGUGCGAAGCAUUCAAAAAUCAUAAAGACCCUUCAAAGGAUUACGAAGGAGUACUGUAGCAAGUCAGGCAUAAAGUUGGCCGUUACAUAGGACUACUACGGAAGCUUAUUUUCAUAAAUAAACCAUUACAACAACCGUGGGAAGAAAAAUAUUGAAAGUGUAUUUGAGUUGAAAUAGACCAUAAUUGAACUAAGGACUGAUGUGAUUGAAAAAGAAUAAUAAAAUGCUGAGAGAUGAUAUUAGAUUAAAAAACGAGAGCAUAAU